rfam:Medicago truncatula strain A17 chromosome 3, whole genome shotgun sequence.
UAGAUACAAGAAUGAUGAUUCAAUUAGAUGUGUGAAAGGAGAAAUCCUUUCUGAACUCACCAUAUUUGAGGCAUUUGAUAUAUCUGACUUUUCAA